rnacentral:tRNA from 1 species
AUGUCCAGGGAUGGGAAUCGAACCCACAGUGUUCCGCUUACCGGGCAGAUGCCAUGUCCACUAGGAUCA